UACAGAGGGGGCGAGCGGUGUUCGGAAUUACUGGGCGUAAAGGGCGCGUAGGCGGCCUGCUAAGUCGAACGUGAAAUCCCCGGGCUCAACCCGGGAACUGCGUCCGAUACUGGCGGGCUUGAAUCCGGGAGAGGGAUGCGGAAUUCCAGGUGUAGCGGUGAAAUGCGUAGAUAUCUGGAGGAACACCGGUGGCGAAGGCGGCAUCCUGGACCGGCAUUGAAGCUGAGGCGCGAAAGCCAGGGGAGCAAACGGG
rnacentral:rRNA from 1 species